UUCUUAUCAAGAGAGGUAGAGGGACUGGCCCGAUGACACCUCAGCAACCAGCCGUGAACAAGGUAUGGUGCUAAUUCCAGCAAGCUGAAAAAGGCUUGGGCGAUAAGAG
rfam:Bacillus marisflavi strain JCM 11544 scaffold1, whole genome shotgun sequence.